rnacentral:tRNA from 1 species
GGGGACGUAGCUCAGCGAAAGAGCGCCGGGCAAACAUCCCGGAAGUCGUGGGUUCAAUUCCCACCGUCCCUG